AGUCGUAACAAGGUCUCCGUAGGUGAACCUGCGGAGGGAUCAUUACACAAAUAUGAAGGCGGGCUGGAACCUCUCGGGGGUUACAGCCUUGCUGAAUUAUUCACCCUUGUCUUUUGCGUACUUCUUGUUUCCUUGGUGGGUUCGCCCACCACUAGGACAAACAUAAACCUUUUGUAAUUGCAAUCAGCGUCAGUAACAAAUUAAUAAUUACAACUUUCAACAACGGAUCUCUUGGUUCUGGCAUCGAUGAAGAACGCAGCGAAAUGCGAUAAGUAGUGUGAAUUGCAGAAUUCAGUGAAUCAUCGAAUCUUUGAACGCACAUUGCGCCCUUUGGUAUUCCAAAGGGCAUGCCUGUUCGAGCGUCAUUUGUACCCUCAAGCUUUGCUUGGUGUUGGGCGUCUUGUCUCUAGCUUUGCUGGAGACUCGCCUUAAAGUAAUUGGCAGCCGGCCUACUGGUUUCGGAGCGCAGCACAAGUCGCACUCUCUAUCAGCAAAGGUCUGGCAUCCAUUAAGCCUUUUUUCAACUUUUGACCUCGGAUCAGGUAGGGAUACCCGCUGAACUUAAGCAUAUCAAUAAGCGGAGGAA
rnacentral:misc_RNA from 1 species